UGGGGAAUAUUGCACAAUGGGCGCAAGCCUGAUGCAGCAAUGCCGCGUGUGUGAAGAAGGCCUUCGGGUUGUAAAGCACUUUCAGCGGGGAGGAAGGCGAUAAGGCUAAUAACCGAAUCGACUGACGUUACCGGCAGAAGAAGCACGGGCUAACUCCGUGGCAGCAGCUGCGGUAAUACGGUGGGGGGAAGAGUUAAUCGGAAUUAUUGGGCGUAAAGGGCACGCAGGCGGUUUGUUAAGUCAGGUGGGAAAGCCCCGGGGUCAACCUGGGGAAUGCACCUGGAACUGGGGAGCUUGAGUGUAGGAGAGGGAGGUAGAAUUCCAGGUGUAGCGGUGAAAUGCGUAGAGAUCUGGAGGAAUACCGGUGGCGAAGGCGGCCCCCUGGACGAAGACUGACGCUCAGGUGCGAAAGCGUGGGGAGCAAACAGG
rnacentral:rRNA from 1 species